rnacentral:rRNA from 1 species
CAGGGAAUCUUGCACAAUGGGCGAAAGCCUGACGCAGCGACGCCGCGUGGGGGAUGAAGGCCUUAGGGUCGUAAACCCCUUUCAGCAGGGACGAAAAUGACGGUACCUGCAGAAGAAGCCCCGGCCAACUACGUGCCAGCAGCCGCGGUAAGACGUAGGGGGCGAGCGUUGUCCGGAUUUAUUGGGCGUAAAGAGCUCGUAGGCGGUUGCGUAAGUCGGAUGUGAAAACUCAGGGCUCAACCCUGAGACGCCAUCCGAUACUGCGCUGACUUGAAUCCAGUAGGGGAGUGUGGAAUUCCUGGUGUAGCGGUGAAAUGCGCAGAUAUCAGGAGGAACACCCAUGGCGAAGGCAGCACUCUGGGCUGGUAUUGACGCUGAGGAGCGAAAGCAUGGGUAGCGAA